rnacentral:rRNA from 1 species
GUGGGAAACCUGCCCAGAAGCGGGGGAUAACACCUGGAAACAGAUGCUAAUACCGCAUAACAACUUGGACCGCAUGGUCCGAGUUUGAAAGAUGGCUUCGGCUAUCACUUUUGGAUGGUCCCGCGGCGUAUUAGCUAGAUGGUGGGGUAACGGCUCACCAUGGCAAUGAUACGUAGCCGACCUGAGAGGGUAAUCGGCCACAUUGGGACUGAGACACGGCCCAAACUCCUACGGGAGGCAGCAGUAGGGAAUCUUCCACAAUGGACGAAAGUCUGAUGGAGCAACGCCGCGUGAGUGAAGAAGGGUUUCGGCUCGUAAAACUCUGUUGUUAAAGAAGAACAUAUCUGAGAGUAACUGUUCAGGUAUUGACGGUAUUUAACCAGAAAGCCACGGCUAACUACGUGCCAGCAGCCGCGGUAAUACGUAGGUGGCAAGCGUUGUCCGGAUUUAUUGGGCGUAAAGCGAGCGCAGGCGGUUUUUUAAGUCUGAUGUGAAAGCCUUCGGCUCAACCGAAGAAGUGCAUCGGAAACUGGGAAACUUGAGUGCAGUAGAGGAAAGUGGAACUCCAUGUGUAGCGGUGAAAUGCGUAGAUAUAUGGAAGAACACCAGUGGCGAAGGCGGCUGUCUGGUCUGUAACUGACGCUGAGGCUCGAAAGUAUGGGUAGCAAACAGGAUUAGAUACCCUGGUAGUCCAUACCGUAAACGAUGAAUGCUAAGUGUUGGAGGGUUUCCGCCCUUCAGUGCUGCAGCUAACGCAUUAAGCAUUCCGCCUGGGGAGUACGGCCGCAAGGCUGAAACUCAAAGGAAUUGACGGGGGCCCGCACAAGCGGUGGAGCAUGUGGUUUAAUUCGAAGCUACGCGAAGAACCUUACCAGGUCUUGACAUACUAUGCAAAUCUAAGAGAUUAGACGUUCCCUUCGGGGACAUGGAUACAGGUGGUGCAUAGUUGUCGUCAGCUCGUGUCGUGAGAUGUUGGGUUAAGUCCCGCAACGAGCGCAACCCUUAUUAUCAGUUGCCAGCAUUAAGUUGGGCACUCUGGUGAGACUGCCGGUGACAAACCGGAGGAAGGUGGGGAUGACGUCAAAUCAUCAUGCCCCUUAUGACCUGGGCUACACACGUGCUACAAUGGAUGGUACAACGAGUUGCGAACUCGCGAGAGUAAGCUAAUCUCUUAAAGCCAUUCUCAGUUCGGAUUGUAGGCUGCAACUCGCCUACAUGAAGUCGGAAUCGCUAGUAAUCGCGGAUCAGCAUGCCGCGGUGAAUACGUUCCCGGGCCUUGUACACACCGCCCGUCACACCACGAGAGUUUGUAACACCCGAAGUCGGUGAGGUAACCUUUAUGGAGCCAGCCGCCGAAGGUGGGACAGAUGAUUGGGGUGAAGUCGUAACAAGGU